GUAAGGGUCGCUGAAUUUAGGGUUAUCGCCUGUUAAGCGGGAGAUGGAGGUUCGAUUCCUCCUCCGUUCG
rnacentral:tRNA from 3 species